GUAUAAAUCAAUCCUCCCAGGGAGCGCAAAGAUGCACGCAAAUCCUAGGAGGGAUGAUGAUGCGCGCGGAAGAUGGUGCAAAGCACACCGGAGGUGUGGGGCGGGGGCCUGGCUCCUCCGGGCGGCCCUUUUCCGGGACAGAACAACUACUGGAUGCGAAAUAGACUCUACGCCAAGUUGAACUUUCGGCAUCAAUAAAUAUGGCACCGUCGGUGGCAAUCAUGCCUUUGCUCAAAGCCUCUCAAAGCUUCCUGUCUCAAUGACACAGAACCCCAAAUUCCACAACUGGCCUCGCAGGCCCUGGGAGAUCAGCCUUCAGGAUCUGACCUCAGUCUCCUUCCACUCCAUCCAGCGACCCUGGGCCUCUGACCUUCUGGAACAUGACUGGCAUGCUUGGAUUAAGGAGUCUGCAUUUGCGGGUCCCUCCUCUCAGGCACGUUCAUCUUCUUCCGUCUGUGGGGCUAAUGAGUUAAUCAGACUUUUUAUGCCACUGGCCUCUGUGGCUAUCACCUGUGGCCUUGAUCUAGUUUACGCAGAAGGCGUGGGGCACGCGUGCCUGAUUGUUGACACCUGAGCAUGAUUGUGUGUGCGCACGCGCAGGUGUGCACACCUGUGCCUAGAAGGUGGCGUCACCUGGGGGCGGGGCUCUCUGCUGUCUUGUCUUCUGCUUCCUAAUAAAGCCUGUGAAGAGGUCACCACGGCCUCCAAAGUUC